rnacentral:rRNA from 1 species
UACCAGCACCCCGAGUGGUCGAGACGAUUAUUGGGCCUAAAGCAUCCGUAGCCGGUCAUGCAAGUCUUCCGUUAAAUCCAGCCGCUCAACGGUUGGGCUGCGGAGGAUACUACGUGGCUAGGAGGCGGGAGAGGCAAGCGGUACUCAGUGGGUAGGGGUAAAAUCCUUUGAUCCAUUGAAGACCACCAGUGGCGAAGGCGGCUUGCCAGAACGCGCUCGACGGUGAGGGAUGAAAGCUGGGGGAGCAAACCGG